CCUACGGGAGGCAGCAGUGGGGAAUAUUGCACAAUGGGCGAAAGCCUGAUGCAGCAACGCCGCGUGAGCGAUGAAGGCCUUCGGGUCGUAAAGCUCUGUCCUAUGGGAAGAUAAUGACGGUACCAUAGGAGGAAGCCCCGGCUAACUACGUGCCAGCAGCCGCGGUAAU
rnacentral:rRNA from 1 species